AUUCCAGGCGCGUAGCUCCCUAUACGCCAACACGCAGUUGCGUGCACAUCAAUUCGGCAUGCAAAAAAAAAAUGGCAAAAUAAAAAUUUAUAAAUUAAAUGUUUACAGGAAACACAUAUAUGUAAUCGCUUUUUUAAAUGAUGUAAUGUCAUUAAAUAGCGGCAUUUGGUUUCAAAAUUAAAGUUUUAUUAGAGAUGAAAAGACUAACAGUAACUUGCCUCUAUUACAAGAUUUGAAUUCGUUAUCAUCUCUAGUAGUUUCGGGGCAGUACGGUUUAACUGUUUGGACUGCGAUGUACCAAUUGACAUUAGAUUUAUCAGUACCCUUCGAUAUCGUUGAAAGUAUGCCGAGGCGAUGUGUUCGACAGACUACCAGAGCCAAUCCCCCCAGCAAACACGCUAAAACAGUAUUGGAAAGUCUCAUUAUAUUUUGCGUUCAUAGACCACAUGAUAAUGGAACUGGAGUCGCGUCUGAUAUCAUCAGGAAAUCGCUUCUAUGUGCAUUAUCUGCUUCCUCGUGUUGUCGGUAAUACAACAAACAAACAAAUCUCUGCAUUGUUUGAGACAUACGAAACUGGCCUGGCAUAUAAUUUGUCUAAUUCAAUCGGGAGGUCGCUCGAUGGCGAACACGAGUGCUACCGCGGGCGGAGAGAUCGUUCAGUGUACUACAUCUGUUGAAAACAUAUGUAUGA
rnacentral:lncRNA from 1 species